UCCAAAGUUGCAGAACUAAAGAAUGUGUCU
rnacentral:piRNA from 1 species